CCUACGGGAGGCAGCAGUGGGGAAUCUUGCGCAAUGGGCGAAAGCCUGACGCAGCCAUGCCGCGUGAAUGAUGAAGGUCUUAGGAUUGUAAAAUUCUUUCACCGGGGACGAUAAUGACGGUACCCGGAGAAGAAGCCCCGGCUAACUUCGUGCCAGCAGCCGCGGUAAUACGAAGGGGGCUAGCGUUGCUCGGAAUUACUGGGCGUAAAGGGAGCGUAGGCGGAUAGUUUAGUCAGAGGUGAAAGCCCAGGGCUCAACCUUGGAAUUGCCUUUGAUACUGGCUAUCUUGAGUGUGGGAGAGGUAUGUGGAACUCCGAGUGUAGAGGUGAAAUUCGUAGAUAUUCGGAAGAACACCAGUGGCGAAGGCGACAUACUGGCCCAUUACUGACGCUGAGGCUCGAAAGCGUGGGGAGCAAACAGGAUUAGAUACCCUGGUAGUCCACGCUGUAACGAUAGAGUGCUAGUUGUCGGUCGACGGACGAUGCCGUCGUCGGUCGGUACGGCGACGCGUAACCGACAUUAAGUACACCGUCCGCCGUCGGGGAGGUACGGGUCGGCGAAGAAGUUAAAACCGUUAACGUAAAGGUUAAAGUUAGUACGGUUCGUUGAGACGUUGCCGACGGACGACGACGAGGGGAGGUUAGG
rnacentral:rRNA from 1 species